CAAGAACUAACCACGAUUCCCCUAGUAACGGCGAGUGAAGAGGGAAAAGCCCAGCACCGAAGCCUGCGGCAGAUUUGCUGUUAGGCAAUGUGGUGUUUGGGUCGGCUCGUGGGAUUGCCACUCCACUCGAAGUCCAGCAUUGAGUAUGGUCACUGGAUUUGGCCCAGAGAGGGUGAAAGGCCCGUACGGGUGGAGGUUCAGACAUGUAAGGCAGUUCACCAGGUCGACCUUAGAGUCGGGUUGUUUGAGAAUGCAGCCCAAAGCGGGUGGUAAACUCCAUCCAAGGCUAAAUACAGACACGAGUCCGAUAGCGAACAAGUACCGUGAGGGAAAGUUGAAAAGUACUCUGAAGAGAGAGUAAACAGUACGUGAAACCGCAUGCAGGUAAACGGGUGGCGUCAAGCUGCAAGCCCAGAGGAUUCAGCCGGUUAGGAUGUUGUGUAUGCGCCUGGCGCAUCUAUCAGUCGGAGUAUGAUUGGAUAGUCCAUCGGUAAACGGUGGGCCUGACCGCAAGGUCAGGAUAUGUGUACCGGGUGGGUGCCGGAGCAUGCUAUCCAUCUGAGGACUGUCUAAUCGGUGCACUUUCUCUGUGGUGAACACCACGACCGGUGGUAUUGCCAGUCUGCUGUGUCCAAGUCGUGUUUGGUAGGUCCUUGUGGCCAACUGGAUGCGAUCACAGGCAAAUUCAGUAAACGGCGUAGGGAUGUUUCGGCAUCUUUGCGUGUUAUCGGCUACUGGUUGUCAACGGGCCUGCUUGGUGUUUGCUGUUGUAACCGGCAUCAAGUGGUCUGGUGGGACAUGGUGGUAAGAAUAACUGUGCAAGGCACCGGAGUUAUCGGCCUCAAAUGCAUGCUGCACCCACGUUACAAGUGGUGUCUAUGAUGGCGGUGUUGUUGCUGUCUGCCCGGUGUUGGGUCUGAUUGUCGUGUCGCCUGCACAAAGUAGGCCCGGCAGUGGCUCGACUCGAGAUGGACAGUGGAUGAUGCCGUCGGUGUGGCAUGUGGUGGGCCCAAUAGUCAGUGGUGUAGUG
rnacentral:rRNA from 1 species